GACGAACGCUGGCGGCGUGCCUAAUACAUGCAAGUCGAACGCUGAAGGAGGAGCUUGCUUCUCUGGAUGAGUUGCGAACGGGUGAGUAACGCGUAGGUAACCUGCCUGGUAGCGGGGGAUAACUAUUGGAAACGAUAGCUAAUACCGCAUAAUAGCAGUUGUUGCAUGACAACGGUUUGAAAGGUGCAAUUGCACCACUACCAGAUGGAGCUGCGUAGCAUUAGCUAGUUGGUGGGGUAACGGCUCACCAAGGCGACGAGACAUAGCCGACCGGAGAGGGGGGUCGGCCACACUGGGACUGUGACCCGGCCCAGACUCCUUCGGGAGGCAGCCGUAGGGCAUCUUCGGCAAUGGGCGGAAGUCUGUCCGCGCAACGCCGCGGGAGGGAAGAAGGUUGUCGGGUCCUAAAGCUCUGUUGUAAGGGGAGAACGAGUGUGAGAGUGGAAAGUUCACACUGUGACGGUAUCUUAUCAGAAAGCGACGGCUAACUACGUG
rnacentral:rRNA from 1 species